GUUUAUUUAAUGUGUAACUUUGAUUUUUUGUUUUUUUUGGUUUACUAUAAUUUAUUAUUUUUUCAUUUAUAUUUUGAUUUAUAUUAUUAUUGUAAAUAAUAUUUAUUUCUAUUUAGUUAACCACGGAGAUGAAACUGAAGUUAACCACGGAGAUGAAACUGAAGUUGACAAUGAUGGGGAAGAUGAAAUUUAUCAUAAGCGACCUGAUAAAGACAAAGCACUAAAGAAAUACAGAAAAUUGAAACUUAGACUAG